CCGCCGCGCGCGCACGCCGGAAGCCGUCAGAGCCCGCCACCGCCCAAUCAGCGCGGCGACACCCCCCCCCUUCCCGCUCCGCCUGGUCUCGCCCCGUUGCCAUGGCGGCGGCCCCGCGGCCGCGCAGGCUUCACAGGCCGGGGCACUCCCGGGCAGGAAAGCGGCCCGAAAACCAUUCAUUCUUUCUUUUCGCCUUUCGACGGACGGACAGACAGCGGCGCAGGAGCGCGUGCACGGGGCGCCCGGGGCAGCCGUGGCACGGAUCCGGGCGGGAGAGGCGUCCCCGCCUCCCGAGGACAGCAGGCCGCAGCCCCGGGGUGAGGGGCUGCCCGCCCGCCCCCCGCACACCUGGUUCACCUGCCGGCUCUCCUGGCACAGGGCAAAAUUAGGCACCCUUUAAGGAGCUAUUUGCCAUUAAUAGAACGCUGAGAGGGGAUCUUAUAAAUGUUUAUAAAUAUCUCAAGGGUGGGUGUCAAGAGGAUGGACCAGACUCUUUUCAGUGGUGCCCAGUGACAGGAUGAGGGGCAAUGGGCACGGACUGAAGCACAGGGGGUUCCUUCUAAACAUGAGGAGAAACUUCUUCACUUUGAGGUGCCAGAGCCCUGGAACAGGCUGCCCGGAGAGGCUGUGGAGUCUCCUUCUCUGGAGACAUUCAAACCCAGCUGGACACAUUCCUGUGUGAUCUGCUCUGGUGAACCUGCUUUAGCAGGUGGGUUGGACUGGAUCAUCUCCAGAGGUCCCUUCAACCACAACCAUUCUGUGGUUCUGUUAAUAUUGUGUUAUUUUAUAGCUCGUCAUCCUAGAAGAGCUUUUACACUCCCCAAGAGGUUUUGCCCAGGUCUGCUCGGCACAUGGUUCGCAUUUUUUCCAAUGGACUCCAAAUAAAGGAAAGAAUAAAUACAAUCUCCUGGUUUGCCUCUGGUGGUCCACGAUUUUUGACUCGUGUUCCUCAAAGUUCCACUGACUUCCAUGAAGCUUGAGAAUUCAGGAACAAACCCCCACCUUUUACUCCUGUGCCACGAGCUACAUCAUGAGUCUGCUAUGAACAACAGCCUGUUACAAUUAGGCAUAGCAGAAACAAUAUAAACGCAAGGGGGCUUUAAUAGUUAUAUGAGUUAUGUAAAUAAUGGCGGUUGUGAUUUUUUUUUUCCAACUUGAACUUUACAGAUUAGUGGGAAGAAUCAGAAAUUUUUAAAAACCAGAAUAUAGGCCAUAAUAUUUGACCUUUUUUUUUUUAAAGAAAAAAAAAAAACCUUAAAUCAUAACCAGAUAUUGAGAAUGAGGAGAAGACAGAGUAUUGCCUAGGAGGGUGAAGAGGCUAUGGAAACAAACGUGGACUAAUCCAGUGCCAGCCAGCUCUAAUGGAAGGACACUCUGGAACCGUAGCAGCUUUACCUGGUUUUUGUAGAGAUGGCAUCCUGCAGAGUUUCACAGAUAUAAGUGAUUCAAGACCCAAUGUGUAUUUUAGGAUGUACAUAGAGCUCUGUGGAGUCUGGCUCCACAUGAGGAUGAUGGCAUGGUGUCAUGGAAGGCUGGGUGAUCCUUCAUCCCCUGGCUGUGGUCCACAAGCAGGUCAUGAGGUAUUUCAAUCUGCCUGAUGAACUACCACAAGUAAUGGUGGAAGAGAGACAGAGGACUCCAAUCUUCCAGCUUCCUAGCAAUUUUAUGAAAAUGGAUGGCCAGGAGGAGGAAGGAGAUCCUGCUACUACCUUCUGCUAAGGGAAAACUUCCAGUGUGAACUCAUUUCUUAUUAGACAACUGAAAAUUCAUUCAAGCUCUCCUUCGAGGCACAGAUGUCCGAGAGAACAGUCUUUAGUAGUUGCACUGCUGAGAAUUUAUUCACAUGGGAAUAGCUCUCACUCCUGCGGACACCAGCAAAGACAAGGCACAGCCAGUAUUUGUAUUUUGGAUAUAUGGAGGCUCUGCAGUGAGAUGAUGGCUAUCACAAUGUGAAUGCCUGCUGCUCCUUUGUAGUGAAUAUAAGACUGUGCCUCUUACGAAUAGAUGGGAUACCUGGAAAUCGUUGUCAUGCUGCUCUUUCAGAUAAUAAACAUUCCUGUGUCCUUCUGAAGGUGGGAUGUACUGUACUUGAUGCAGAAGAAGUAUUAAACACACACGUUUUGAGUGUCUGCAACAGACAAAGCUGUUGAUAGAGACUGAUACAUGAGCGGCUUUUUUACAUGCAGAAGGCCAUUGAUCUCAAACUUGAACUAGACGAGUUAAGGUUUAUUCAGCAUGAGAUGUUCUUCUGUAGCAUUGGAGGGGGUGCACGUGAUUGCAGCCUGCCAGGAAACUGUAAGUCACUCUCUUUCUGCACACACUAUAGCAGUUGCUUCAAUACCUCUGGGAAAGAGUAAAACUUGCCCUCUGCUUUUCUGUCCUGUAGAAGGAACAUGGGUCUUUCAGGCCAACUUUUUCCAGGACUUAGCUUACCAGGGAAGCAGACUGCAGUCUCCCAAAGGAUCGUCAACACCCUACAAAAUCUGGAGGUUCCCUACCUGUCUUUAAUCCCCUUCACACAUCUCAUUUACCCACAUUCAAAAGCCCAAUUUCAAAUGUCUCCUUUUUGUUUGGUCAUUUUUCCUGUGACAUAAUGUAAAUAUUUUUUUCAGAGUUGAACAGCCACACUUUUAAAGUUUCUGGUAUUUAAAUUGCUGGUUAAAAUGAGAAGAUUCCUCUCAGGUGGCAUAUUUGUGCUGACCUGGUUAAAUGAAUAGCUUAUCUGUACAUCAUUUUUCUUCUCUGCUUAAUCAGAAUAUAUUCCUGGGAGACCUAUUUGCAAGCUUGUCUACAGAGACGUCUAUACAGGAGCAAGAUGGAGCCUCUUCAGAUUGCAUCUUCACGGUUGCGGUGCUGUAAUUAUGAAACAAAAGUGAAACCAAGGCAUUAUAGUUCCUAGUUUUUAUAUACAACAACUUUUACUUGUUUUAGAUGGCAAAUUGCUGCUAAACUAACAUUUCUAUAAGCAUUACAGUGUCCAUAUAAAUGCUACUAUAAUGAAAGGGAAUGUCUUUAUCUGAGCUGGUUGUGGUUAUGUCAGUAGGCACCAGCAGAUUGCCUCAGCCAUUAUUGCUCUUUCUGUGAAUGUGAUAUCCGGUCGUGAUAUUGAUUCAGUCUCCAUUUUCGUAUCAAUAGCUUAAAAAAAUAAAAUUAAAAAAAAAAAAAAAAGCUUGUAAAAUAAUCUAAUUUAAAAUUUAACUGGAUUGUUAAGAACACAGUUGCCAAAUAGGCUGUGUAUGUGUGGAGCCUAACUGAAACAGAGGGGAAGGCCACCAGGAAUCUUGCUAUAAAAAUGAAGGAACAUCCCCUCCAGUUCAGCUCUGCCUUGAACACUCGUCUUUUGGUUCAACUAUGGGAAGGUGUCUGAAGUACUGGGUGAGUUUCCUACAUCUCUUGAUGCAAUCAAGGGCAAAGUGCAGCAUUUUCAUCCUGUCAUUCCCUUUUAUCAAUCUCAGUUAUUAAGCAAGGGGCAGAUAUUAAGGUCAACCUUGAUUUAAAUGUUUAAUAGACAUUUCUCAUUAGACAAACUAUAUGUGUCCUAUUAUAUUUCUUUCAGGGCCUGUCUCUCAUUGGAUGCAUGACAGACUGUCCUCCCGGAUAUAGUCCAGUGAGCAGGAGUAGAAAUGUGCUCGAACAUGGCAUAAUUACAAUGAACAUAAAGGGAGAAAGAGGAGCUGCUUCAUCAAUGCUGUUUCCAUACUGUGGUUGGUCUCAGGAAAGGAUUGCGUUGAUGAAUUAGUCCAAGAAUGCUCCAGCCGUGGAAGAAUACAUUUUACAAGAAAAUCCAUAGGUGACUAAUAGGCCAGAUUGUUCAUCCUUCACCCACGGUGGUGACAAUUGCCACAAAAGCUCCCAUGUGCUCAUAACAGUACAGAAGUAAACUGGGCCUGGAUUCUGAAGAAAGGAGCCAAACAAGGUGCUAGAUCUUCUUCUAGGAGAUUCCCAAAAGAGGUGUAGCUCACCAGAGUUGGACAUUCGCUCCCCAAGCAUCCUGCUAUCCCUUCACGUCUACCAAGUGCUCUUCACACUUCACCCUGCCUGUAUCCACUUGGCUUCUGCCUGUGACUGGAACCAACGGGAAACCUCUGGCUCCAUUCCCCUCAACACAGGAUGCAAAAGCACAGGCUGUAUGAGGCAAAAAUGAGAGUUAGAAUGGUUUCCUGGUGAUUAACAGACUGGUAAGAUCCAUUACACCAUCUGGUUACCUCCCUCCUAUAAGCAGCAAUGUGUGAUAGUGGACCAGCUCUUUUAAGCAGUUCCAGAAUACCAUUUUCCUCUCCACUUCUGUUUUUCUGACAUCAGACUACACCUGAGUACAGGUGUUGUUCUGUCCCUCCUAGGGGUACCACAUGUCCAUCAGCAACUUUGCUCUUUACUUCCUAAAUCAAGAAUUAAUAAGGAGAAGAUUUUGCUAACACCACUUUAGGUGUGCACGUCAGAAAUAAACUGGUUGUAUUGUCAGAAAAACAUUGGUAGCUGACAAGUCCUGCAGAGAGAUUAAAUACAUGGGAGGGCUGUGAGCAAUACGAGACAUGCUGCUGAUGAUAAGCUAAAAUCAGUGUUUGUUCCUCAGAACUCCCUGUGUCAAAAGAGUCGGUUGCAACGCUUCAGCUCGCUGUUGUGCAUUCCUGGUACCUGACCUUCUCCACGUGGCUGUUGCGCAUCUAUUGGCCCGCGAGCUUCCCACUAUGCUGAGAAGAGGGAGGGGAAAGGAAGAGCAGAAGAAGGCAAGAGGGGAAAUAAAUACCUAAAUUGUUUUUCUCUGAUGUUACACAUAGUCUAGGGAAAAGGACAUUGGCAGGAGCUGAGUGAUACCUGAACGCUGCUGUACUAACACGACAGCUUUAUGGGGAGGCAGUAUUGGGUCACAAGCCUGAUUCCCCCUACUUUUUGUUCAAUAACUGCUAAACAGGGGGAAGACAGACAUUUUCAGGGUAAAAACUGUGAUAGAGAGCAGACUUGAAGCCUUCCUUUGCCCUGUGACUAUGUGGUGUGGUUACACAGCUAAAAAAUAUUGACCAUUUAAUCUGAAAUAAGUGCAGAAGAGGAAGGUAGAAUGAAUCCUGUGCAGUUUGCUGCUUUCUGCUUGCUGCAAUCCGCAUGGGCGAUACCCUCCCAGUCCCACUGACAGCCCCACGGCAGAGCAGGCACGUGGGCUCCGCAGUGCAAUGCAAAACCUGAGCUUAUGCAGCUGAAACAUUCCUCCCCCAUCAUUUGUGCUGGUUUUCCUCCUUCCUCGCCCUUUUCACUGCUGCCUGCAGCCACUGCAGCUUGCUUUCCCUCUCCCUCCCAUCCCCUGUCCUCCUGUCCCCUCAUUUCCCGCAGCCUCCUCUGGCACACGCUGUGGCCUCGGGAAGAGAGAGGCAGGAGCAGGGGAUGGCAGGUCACUGUGACAGCUCAAGGUAACCUGUGCUCGUGGCUUUUCCUGGCAGAGCACUACAGCCCAAGCCAAAGGAAAUUCUGACGCUGAUUUUACUAACAGGAUAAAAUCAGCCUCUAUUGGCACAGACAGAAUUCAGCCCUGAAGGUAUAUGAAUAAUGUUUCCCUAACUGGCAUCUGAUCUUGCUUCUUGCAUUAUGCUCUGGUUAGCGGGAGACGAGUGAGGCCUCUCAGACCAUCCAGUGGUUCGUGGUGUUCGUGAUAAACUAUGCAAACCCACAGAAGGAAGGAGGAAAAACAAGACAGAAGCUGAUACGCGGGUCAGAAAUCACCACUCCAGGCAGCGGUCCUGAGCCUGCUCAUCCAGUUAACCAGGUACAUCUACAGACACCGAGCUGCAGAUGACAUCACAGCAGCAGAUGACAUCACAGCAGCAGAUGACAUCACAGCAGCUGAUGACCUCAGCCUCCAAUAAGGGCAAUGGAAAACCCUCCCUGCACUUCCCUGCAGAGCUGAAGUAAACCCACUUUUCGUCCUGCUCUGGGUUGCUACGCUGCUGGUUCAGUCAUACAGACGAAAUAUGCUCUUCUCAGACAUUGAAGCUAUUAUUUCUCUAAGAUGAAACAGCAUCCCACACUCUUAUUAACCUGUGCCCUACUUCAGAAGUAAAUCUAAUUUAGGGGGUUCGUAGUUAGCUCAUGCUGGUGUUGGUUUGUCCCUGCGUCCGCUCUGCCUUCUCUGGAUACAUUUACACAGCGCUAUAUGUGGCAGAGCCCUGUUUACUGUAGCCUGUCGGCAUUAUUCCUCACAACAGAAUAAGGAAUUGGGGUGGUUGGAGCUUUUUGUUUCUUUGGGGAAGGGAGAAGUAAAACCAUAAAUGUUAAAAAUAUCCCUACAAAAAUGUUUUUUUAUUCAACAGAGACCGAUGUGCUGUCUGCUAAACUGAGUUGGUCAUCUGGGAUAUUCCUGCGUAUCCGGUCACCUUCCACAGAGCGCCUCAAGAGUCAUGCUGUGUGAGAGAGAAGAGGUUCAAAGGCUUUGCCAGAUUUUUGAUGGCAAACAUCAAACAAGAUGGGUAUUGUUUCACAAAUACACAAAGUAAGAGGGAAAGGGAAGUAGAAUCUUCAGCGAUGGCCACCACAGAAGCAGUACAUACAGUCAUUUAUGUGGCAGAGUCAUCUGUAGAUUAUGUUACCUAACAAGCAAUGCAAGAAAGCAAAAGAAACCCAAAACCUUUUUUAACCAAUGCUCAAUAUUUUCAAUGAUAGUCAGCGCAGUUUAUUGACUUCUUUUAAGGAAUUAAACCAUGAAGAUACGUAGAGCGUGA